GCCGGGCGUGGUGGCGCACAUCUGUAAUCCCAGCUACUCAGGAGGCUGAGGCAGGAGAAUCGCUUGAACUCUGGAGGCUGAGGUUGCAGUGAGCUGAGAUUGUGCCACUGCACUCCAGCCUGGGUGAGAGUGAGAUCCUGUCUCAA
rnacentral:SRP_RNA from 1 species